AGGCUUCCAUGAUGGGAUUCAUCCGAUUGGUCAACAACGUGAAGGCGUCCAUCUGAUUGGUCAAAGGCAGAAAGGGAUUUAUUUGAUUCAUAAAAUACGUCAAGCUGCCAAAAGAGCACAUUUAAGGCCUACUCUUGUGGCAUUUUUCUGGCAGGACGGGCCGUAAGCUCCCCGCUCUGAGCUCUGCAAUAGGGAGUAGGGGCGGGGUUUAACCAUACAUCAAAAGAGGAUGGGAUUGACCUGCUGUCGGUAUGUAGUCGCUCCCGACCCGUCAGGUUUGCUCAGAAACCCAGCAGCCAGAAGCGGAUGGUUCAAAACCUGCAGAAGCCCAGCAGUGAGAGGAUGUGAGGCUGGUUUCGUCCGGCGCCUGUGACUCACGCUUUUGUUGGUAAAAGAGGAGCUGUCGGAGGGUUGGAGCCAACUGCUGACCGAGGAUUUACUCGACAAAUUAGUGCAGAACACCGCAGGACUGUGAUACGCUUCCUCCUGGAGUUUUGCUAGUCGGCUGGUUUCAAGGCCGUAACCGCAUGAAGACUCUUUCAGAGUGCUGAGUCCACUUUCACCCACACAGACUGAACGGAUGCCGUUCUCCUGGACCUGAAGGGCGUGUGGGUCAGAACGCCUGUUUUCCAAAGCUUUCCGGGGUCAGGCUGACCCGUCUUCUCUGCCGUUUGUC